AGUGAACGCUGGCGGUAGGCCUAACACAUGCAAGUCGAACGGCAGCACAUUAAGCGCUUGCUCUUACGGGUGGCGAGUGGCGGACGGGUGAGGCAUACAUCGGAAUCUACUUUUUCGUGGGGGAUAACGUAGGGCAACUUACGCUACUACCUCAUACGACUUACGGGUGAAAGCAGGGGUUCUUCGGACCUUUCGCUCUUUCAUGAGCCGAUGUCGGAUUUGUUAGUUGGCGGGUUAAAGGCCCGCCAAGGCGACGAUCAGUAGCUGGCCUGAGAGGAGGGCCAGCAACAUUGGAACGGGGAAACGGUCAAGAUCCCUAGGGGAGGAGGAAGAGGGGAAUAUUGGAAAAGGGGGGAAAGCCGGAUCCAGACAGACGGCGUGGGUGAAGAAGGCCUUCGGGUGGUAAAGCCCGUUUGUUGGGAAAGAAAAGCAGCAGGGUAAUACCCCGAUGUACUGACGGUACCCAAAGAAUAAGCACCGGCUAACUUCGUG
rnacentral:rRNA from 1 species